ACACUACUGAGGAGUCCCACAAUAGGAUGAAACGGUCGUCUAGUGA
rnacentral:hammerhead_ribozyme from 1 species